rnacentral:tRNA from 1 species
GCUUACAUGGCGCAGUAGGUAGCGCACGUCAUUGGUAAUGACGAGGUCGGCAGUUCGAAUCUGCUUGUAAGCUCCA